rnacentral:lncRNA from 1 species
GCUAGGCAACACUUCCCUAUCGAGGAGGACCAGCUUGUUCCCCUCCCUGAUUAUUGGCACAAGCUGAUCGGGGAAGAGACCGAUCGAUAUGGCGGCGGAGCAGCAGUCGAGCAGCGGCGCUCACGCGGCGGCGACCCAGCUGGGCGACCUGCCGGAUGCGUGCCUGGCGCAGGCCAUCGCGCUCACCUCCCCGCGCGACGCCUGCCGCUGCGCCGCCGUGUCACCGGCCUUCCGCGCCGCCGCCGACUCUGACCACGUCUGGCGGGGCUUCCUCCCCGAGCAGCUGAUGAUCGACGGCCACAGCUACAAGCCCGCCGCCGUGGCGCUCCACCAGGCGCCGGCGCCGGCGGCCAAGAGCAAGAAGGAGGCGUACCUCGGCCUCUGCAACGCCUCCGGCGCCGUGGCCGUCGGUGAUGGCGACGGCGGGUGCCGGGUGUGGCUGGAGAGGGCCACCGGCGCCAGGUGCUACGCGCUGUCGGCGAGGAGGCUCAGCCUGCCCUGGGACGACGGCGAGUUCUCCUGGAAAUUCACGCCCCAUCCCCGCUCCAGGUUUGCUUCUCCUCACUCUUCUCCUAUGUUCAAACUUCAAAGUUGUCUUCUUGCCUUAAAUGAACAAUUGUUUUUCCCUCACACGCCACCUGCUAUCGAUCGAGUUGCUCAUCACAGAGAAUUAUUUCCUACUGUAGAAAAUUAUCUCGUUUUCUUUUCCGGUUGCAAAACUUGUUAAAAGGGGUAGCUAGGCCAAGCUUAACAGCAAUGGAUCAAUUGAAACUUUGUUAGGAAAGCUGCACGAUCGAUCGUAUACCUUUCCUUUAGAAACGAGAAUCGAACUGCUUGAUUUGGUCUGAAACUUACACCCGGCGGCGAUCGAGCUGGCGGUCGCAGUCAGCCUCCAUUACUGUGAUAGAAAGCUCCACCAUGUCCCUAACCUUUUCCGUCCAUGCCGAUGAAAAGGAAGGCGAGUGAUGAGGGCGUCCACUACUGGGCACGACGAGUGGCCGGCAGGCACCCACACGCUGCUGGUCCAGGUCUUCUAGAACAUGUCCUCAGGAAAAGAUUCUGUGGCGCAACAGCGGCUUCAUCAGUUCAUGGUCUAUAGCUGUUUGAGGUAGGGUAUAUGUACGAUGAAGCAAUGGCUGUUUUUCCUAUAUGACUUCCUAACUAAUAGUCCCAUUUAGCUCCGCUAGCUACUAUGUUUUAGAGUUUUGCUGCUGAAAACUAUAGCCAGAGAUUUAAAACAGCUGCUGAUACAUGACUUCCUGGAUAUGAAAUCCAUUCAAACUAGAUGCGAUCGAGGGAUCAAUAUAAUAGUAGUUCCGUACGGAACUGUCAUCUCUGAUCUUCUCUCCGAGAUGAAACAAUUUGAACAAUUUUGGGUUAGCAAUUGGAUAUGAUAUCCAGUACGAGUGUCCCUCACAUCUGACCCUGUCCUGUCGGCGUCAACGGCUGAUCGAUGCCAUCAGCCGAUCAGCGUGGACAGCCAAUAAACAACCUAAUUAAUCCUCCUAAUGACUCUUGGUCCUAGCUUAAUUAUCUGGAUUAUAUCUGCCUGAAUCGAUGGAUUAAAGUACUGAUGGUGAGCAGGUUCGCGGAGGUGGCGGAGCUGGUGGACUGCACGUGCCUGGACAUCUACGGGGCGCUCCCGGCGUCGUCCCUCACGCCGGCGACGCCCUACGCGGCGUACCUCGUCUACGACACGGCGGCGGAGGGUGGCCACCGCGGCCUCAGCUACCCGGACCAGGAGACGACGGUGUCCCUGGGCGGCCGCGUCGUCGCGCGCCACGACGUGUGCAUCCGCCCCGACGACGCCGAGGCGCGCAAGUUCUGGGGCGGCGGUGGCCGGACUGGUGGCGGCGAUCGCGAGGAGCCGAGGCGGCCGAGGAGGAGGGAGGACGGGUGGUGGGAGAUGGAGAUGGGGCGGCUGCCGAGCACCGCCGGCGAGCCGGAGGAGGAGGUGGUGGCGAGCUUCGAGGUGCUCGGGUGGUACCCCAAGCGCGGCCUUGUCGUCGAGGGCAUCGAGUUCAGGCCCGUCGUCGAAAGUUCUACCUGACAACAACCAUGCAAAUUGUGAAAAUGUGUAGUAUUUCAGUUCAUCGGCUGGAUGAACUUAAUGCUUGGAUGGUAUUUUUACACUUGUACAUGCGACGAUCUGAUGUUGAAAAAGAAGCUUGUCGAUCGUUUUGAUGUUACAUGCAAGCCAGAUGCCACGUACCACGAUGAGCCUGCAGCUAUCGGUACUGUUGGGUUUGGUAAGGGGUCGCGCUCAGGAUCUGAAUCUAAGAAUCUUGUGGCAUCUGAAACCGGUUUGCUGGUCCCGGCCCCUUUGAAUCUGAAUCCUAUACUAGUAGGGAAAACAAAAAUAGUAUCAAGUAUGAAAUGAACCUUGGCCGGUUUGGCCAGGUUUUGCCUUCCGCGCCCAUGGAGUACUGUUUGUUUGGUAUCCGUCGCGUUCUGACGGCGAAAGGAGCCCUGACGUAACCAUCUCUCUGCUAACUCUUGUCAUGGUUGAGACGGUCUCGUGGUUGGACGGUGUCACGCCCGGUUUCCAAACAAAACCAACUGCUUCCUAAAUAUAUAUUCAUGCUAGGAUCAAAUUUCGUACAUACAGUGAUAUCAUCAGUGAAUAAUAGUAACAGUAUCACGUAAAUAAAUAUAAAUAAAAAUAAAAACUUACGAGUCAAUCGGAGAUAUAUAGCUUAAUUCUGAAAAUGGAGGCUCUAAACUUCACAGGCAAUUGACUGAGGGUCACAUACACCUAGAACUUAGCAUCAUCUUCAGCAAAUUUCAUAGCAACCUCUUCUUCUGAGCAGCAGUUAGUAAGGAUGAGUACACAGAAUAAGGAUUUAAGUCUAUGUUCAAGUUUAUUAAUCAUAUAAGGGUCCAGGCCGCUCUUGACCGUGAGCACAACUGAUAUAUCAGUUUUACACUCUAUAGAGAUUGUACACUUGCACCACAAGUCGCGUAAAAGAACCAUGCUGUGCAAAAGUAGGCACUUAUCAUACUACCAAGGUGUGACUACAUAGGGACGCUACGAGACCUUUACAAAGAUUCGCUAAGCUAGCAAGUAGUAACCCACUAAGGUUUCAGAUUGAAGUAGAGCAUAAACCUCUCUCAAGACUGCGAAGAACACCUCCCCUCUUGCCCUUUCGGUAAGAUUACCUCAGACUAGAGUCUCUAAUUAAUUCGCCAAAACUAGAGCCAUGUAGUUCUUGUGGUUGCGCUAUUUUCCUAGGUGGUCGCUCCAUGUUCCAAUUAAUGCAUAGUAUUUUAUAAAUAAGUAUAGAUAGAAGGAUGGUUAGGGACACUUGACUUUCUCCAACGAAAAAUUACUCUUACUGCUCUUUAGCUCUUGCUCUCUUGAAACUAUUAAUCUUCAAACCUUUCGAACAACGAUCCUUUUACUCGAAGCAAUCAUUGGCACAACCAUACAAAGCAAACAAACAAGUACAACUAAGAACAAUACACCAAUCAAAGAAAAGCUUUAAAAGAGCGUACUAAAGGAUAGGGCUCGAUUCUAGGAUGACGAAGAUGCAUGAACACUAAGAACGAGUUGAAGACACACAUUUAUUAGAGAAACUUUGGUUUUAAAGGAAAGACAAGAUAUAUAUGCUGCAUUUAUUUUUAAUUAGAAAAUAUAUGUAAAGGAUACUUCUAGAAAAUACGUUAAUUCAAAUUAUAUUUGUAUAUGAAAAGACAAUGUAAAACCUAGUAAACUUUUAUUUAUAAAGAUUCAUGUACAAAUUAUGCCAUUUAAACAUUUAACCUUGAAAAAUAAACUAUGUGUAAUAACACCUAAUCGAUAACUUUAUAUGUCGUAUUGAACUAAAACAAGUUAUAAUUAUGAACUCAUUUAUGUUAAUAUUAAUCAUAUUAACACCUGCUUAAAGAAAAGACGAUACCUAAUUAGCUUUUUAUUAGAAAAGAUGAGUAAAUAAGUAUUAAUCAAAAUUAAUAUCAUAUUUAUUAAAAAAAUGAAACAUGAUGAAACAACGUUGCUAAGGGGGCGUUUGGUUUCUCGAGCUAAAAUUUAGUCCGUGUCACAUUGAAUAUUCGGAGACUAAUUAGGAGGACUAAAUAUGAGUUAAUUAUAAAACUAAUUGCACAGAUGGAGGCUAAAUAGGGAGAUAAAUCUAUUAAGCAUAGUUAAUCCAUAAUUAGCAAAUGGUUACUGUAGCAGCACAUUGUCAAAUCAUGAACUAAUUAGACUUAGUUCGUCUCGUCGUUUAGCCUCCAUAUGUGUAAUAAGUUUUGUAAAUAGUCUAUAUUUAGUACUUAUCUUAAAAAUUCAGGUGAGUAACCAAACACGUUACGAUUAGAAAAUUCUGAUUAGAAAAUUCUGAUGGCGCGAAAACUCCUUGCCGAGCCAAUAAAUGAUUCCUGGGAAAGCGCACCAGAUUCUUGCAUUCGGCGCUGCUGGAUUCAAACUGCCCCCGGAAUCUAGCUAAUAAACAGACUCAUGGAGUCGUUGGUUGUGAAAAAGAAUCUCCUUUUUUUCGCUUCACCGGAGGCAGCUGGAGCCAAUCGUGGGUUCUUCCGUACGAGGCCUAGCUAGGGUUGCUUCGUCCAAUUUGCAACUCCGUGAAACUCCUGGCCACAGGCGCUUCGCUGACGCAUGCUACUGCGCUUCAGCGGCCGGAGAGGAAUGAAGCCAUGGCAGCGAUCCGAAGAGCACGGCCGCAUCUUCCUCCGUCGUCUUCCCCUUUGCUUUCUUUGACGCUCCCGUCACCCACAUUCACAGCAUGGCCUGGCUCCCGAUACGGUACGGUGAGGACCAAAAUAAAACCAAAUUGAUCAAAAACUUUGGGUACAAGUUUAAAUAUUCCGCCGCUCAUAAGGUAUGUACAAUCCUACGUACUCCCCUAGCUAGAUAUAAAAAUUUGAGUAAACAUGAAUUCCAUGGGCCUGUUCGCUUCAGCUUAUAAGCCAGCUGAAAAGCUGAAACGGCUGAUUUAUUGUGAGAGGAAAAUACUGUUUGGUGGCUGAUAAGCCGACUGAAUAAGCUGAAGCGAACAGGCCGAUGCAUAUCUCCAUCGUGCUUCUCUCACUUGUAAAGCUAACGAAUAUAAUCCAAGAAUAAUUAAUGCAAUGUGCUUUCCUUGUUUUCCUCCUUAGGUCAUUACCAUAUCUCCCAGUUCUACCCACCACCUUUUCCAGGAGUGCUAAGUUCCCAUAUUUCCAUCAAAUUCUAGCCUAAUUCCAUUUAAAUAUAAAUUAUUGACCGGUCAAACAACUAAAUUCCAGUCUAGAAUUUCUAAAUUUCCUCUGAAUAUGGUAUCCGAAAGACCGAAACUUUUCGCACUUCGAAUCAACAAGAACCUUGACCUACUCCGUGACCGUUCAUAAAAUAGGCUAUUCUGUAGCCAGAUCCAACGGGUGCGCCAGAUGAGCCGAGCAAGCCAAUCCGGUCAUUUUAAUUCGUGCGGUCCCCGUGCCCACCAGCUUUUACGCGAGGCCGCGUUCCCUUAGGCCCCGUUUGGAUCCCUUCAUUUUGAAGGAAUUGGAAUGUAUUUAAUGGAGUAGGUUAAUUUAUGUUGGAAUGUGGCAUUCCACAACUUUCCAAAGUUUAGAUAUAAGCCUAUCUUAAAUUCAUGGGGUGGGAGAUGGAAAUUGAUUCUAUAGAUUAUGGUUAUUAGAAUGGAAUUCAAUUCUUAUAACACGCUCUUAGACUUGCUUCUCUAUAGUAGAAGUGCAGCAUAUAAGUAUCUCCCCCAUAUCACCAACUAUAAUAUACAACUAUAUUCCACAUACAAUUAUAUUAGCUUAAUUAAUUUGUGUCUAAAUUAUGAUUAUUAGGAUGGAAUUCAAUUCCAAUGAUCCAAACGGGGCCUUAUGGGUUUUAUGAGCCGAGCUGACCCACGAUGGGAAUACAAGCCGACCCUUCCAUAGCAGUAAUUAGCGCUAAUUGGUGCGUUUACUACCAUGAGAUCAAUACUAGAAUAUUCGAGUGCCCACCGAACCAGGACACGGGAUUCCUAGCGAUAACUAGUUCACGCUGAUUUUGGGAAUUCGCUGCAUGCAAGCUUAGCCAGGGUGGGUUGUUACGAGCAUACAUAAGCACGGUUUACUGUAUACGUGCACGCAAGUAUAGUGUUACGCGAAUACUAAAACGAGAGUGCGCUUACAUGUAGAGCUAAUACCUGCAAGCUACGGUAAAUAAUGCUCAAGUUACGAGAAUCAGACGACUGCUAAUUAAAUCUAUGUUACGAUAUAUAAUAAUGCUGAAGUUACGAGAAUCAGGCUGCCGAUCAGUAUUGAAGUUACGAAAAUCAGGUUGCUCAUCAUAUCGCCGGGCCAUUUAUUAAGGAUCCGGCAUAAGCCCCAAAUCAACUGAUGUUGACGCUUCAUGCAUGUAUAUGCUUCAAGGACUGCAGGAGCCUCGAUCUUGUCGUUUCGCACAACAAAUCCAUGGCUGUCGCAACUUCGGCUCAACUACAAUGGGAUAUGUUGACACAAGCUUCCGUCAAGAUGUGCUGAGGGACCGGUUAAUCUACUAGUAAUUACAGUAGUUCAAAAGGAUUAGAGACGAUAAACUAUCAUGGUGAGUUGCUACAAUUUUGUGUCAAAAGAUUGCUUCGAGGAACAACUUAUUACAACAGUUUGAAUGGCUCAUGUAGAUUUUAGGGGCGCCCUUGAGUUGGUUAGCGAGGCCGAUCCUGCAGAUUGGCUUCGUCUGGAUGAUAAAAGGUCGCAGAAGAGGAGGCGAGAUCUAUAGAGGCUGCACAUUUUCCUACAUUUCAUAGUGAAAUAUAAUUAGAAGCUACAAAAUCAGGACUCAAGUCAGUGAACUUCAUGGAUAAAUUCAGUCGCACAAACUUCGUGGUAAAAUUGAUUUACUUAAAAGGUAAUAAAUUAUAUGGUGAUUUUACCAUCAUAUGAUGGAUAAUGAAGGUCUAGUAAAAUUACGAGAAAUAUGUACAGUUAAAUUACGAGAAUUUAUGAAAACAAAUUAGUAAAUGGUAUGAUAUAUUUAAAAUAGUGCAGUGUUGUAAGGAUUCGUGGUCCAAGAAGGGGGGUUUUGAAUUGGGAUUUUUUCAAAUUUCUAGAACAAUAAAAGCAAACCUUAGCUUAGAUUUCUAGUAUUGCCCAAACUACAAGGUUCAAACCUAGAAACUAGGCACGCUAGCAAACAAGGAACCUGGCAAGGAGAGCACACUAACAUGAUCAUCAUUUCCUAAGGCAAGAUAUGAGCACAACUUGAACAAGAGCAAAAAGACAAGUGAAUUGCAAAAAUUAAAUGCACAAAAGAAGUGCUGAAAUGUAAAGAGUGAGGACACGAGAUAACCGGAUUUUUUCCAGUGAUAUCGAGGAGUUGACACUACCCCCUAAUCCAUAUUGGAGCACUCACUAAGAGUUUUGCUCCCUCAAGUCACAAAGACAAGAUUGCUUCACUAAGAAUGCUCAUUCUCCAUCUCCGGAACGGCAAGCUUCACACCGUGUAUAAAAUCUUUUUCUUGGAGCUCCCACAAUCUCCAAGAGCUCAUUAAGAACCUCUGGGUCACCAAGACUGUCCAGGUGACGUCAACCACCAAGGGUAACAAGCUUCAAUGCUUCACUUGAUCAACACUCAGCUAAGCCAUGAACUAGAUGCACACGUGCCACCCUUCAACACUAAGAGAAGUCCUUAAUCUUGAGAUUUAGCGAUUCACUAAUCACACUUUGGCUCUAGCACACUCACAACUGCUUAUGGGCUGCUUGAAGUCUUCAAGGUGUCAAGAGCAACUAAAAUGACCCAAGGGAGGGGUAUAUAUAGGAUAGGGAACAGCAGCUAGCCGUUGGAAAAGUGUGAACAGAAAAGCACACCAUCAGAUGUUCCGAUGGUGUUUCCUCCUCGGGGUGUCGGAACAUCCGGUCUCUCACAAACCAAAAUUUUGACCGUUAGAAAAGUAAUAGUGAAAAGUUCAUCUGAUGCUUCAUCCGAUGGUCUUGAGCUAGGCGUUGGAUCAUCCGGUGCUGAAGACGUUUUGGCUAAAACCUCUCUGGAAGGAAUUAAAGAAAAUAUGCUUCCUCUGACGCAUUCAUCCGAUGCUCACUUAGCAGCCGUCGGAACAUCCGGUGCUGAAGGCGUUUUUGACCAAAACUCUCUUGAAGUUGGCAAAGUAAGUAUGCUUGCUCCGAUGAUCUUCUUGACAUAGCAUCGGAACAUCCGCUGCUAAGAAAAAAUUCAUCCGAUGGUGACAUCGGAACAACUGAUGCCUGACUCCAUAUUUCCAGUCUGAGAAAAUUGCUCCGACACAACUAGAAAAUUGGGCAUCGGAAUAUCCGACGUUGUCCUUCAAUUUUCAACUCAUCCAAUUUAAUCUCCUUUAAGUUUUUCGUCAAUUUCUUUGCUUCUUGAGUUCUUCCAUGUGUUGUUUGAGCUACCAAGUGCUAGAGAGUACUGAGUAUGCAUCACAUUCAUAGUUAGCCUUGUAUGGUCAAGCUACUGUCAUUGAAACCCCUCUUAAUAGUACGAUCUAUGAGCUACAAACUAGAAAAAAAACCUAUAUUACACUAAGUGUCCUUCAUCUUCUUGUAACACUUAGUAUUAGAUUCUAUAUUAAAGAAAACACUUGUUUCAAUCUGUAUGGUGGUAAAUCACCUUAUAUUAUAGUCAACAUAUAGGCUAAGUUACAGUAAAUUACGACACAGUGUAGUAUGCGACAUAUUGAUUCUAGUAAAUAGUCUAUGUUGUCGUCUUGAGCAUUCGAAUUAUCAUAACUAUAUCACGAUAAUUUGGUCUGCAUUAUAGUGAUUGGUUCCUCAAAUAGCUUAAUAUCAAAUUAUUGUAACUUCAUAUCCUAAGGGGGUGUUUGGUUCCACCUUGCUAAAACUUUAGUUGCUAAAGUUUAGCAACUUUUAGCUGCUAAACUGCCAAACACCCUUGCUAAAGUUUGCUAAAGUUGAGUUGCUAAAGUUUAGCACUUUAGCAAGUUUUUGGUUGCUAAACUUGUUAAAAGGUGGGCUGGACAACCUAUGCCCCUCAUUUAUUACUUGUCUGUCCCCCUACGCACCUUCUCUCUCCCCUAUCCCCAUCCGCACCCGCACCAUACGCCUCCACACGCAUCCGCCGCCGCCGCCGGCGCAUCGCCGCCGUCGGCUCCUGCAGGCCAUCCUCACCGCCGCUCUACUGCCGCAGGACCUGCCGGUGGUGGUGCUCGGCUCGGCUGCCGGCCCACAUGCAGCCCCCCGCCUGGCCAUGGCGGAGGCCUAGCGCGGGUCCGCCGGUGCCGCCGGCGCGCAUGUCGGCGGGGGCGGCUGGCUGGCCGUGGCUGCUGGCUCCUACCCAAUCCGCCGCACCCCCCCUUGCGCCAUCCACUUUCUCUGCCGCUGUUCUUCCCGAAUCCAUCUCCAUCGCCAGUGGCACGGUGGUCCGGCCUCCGCCACCACUGGAUCCACCAUCCCUGCCGCCGCAACCCCCGGACGAGUGCGUCGCGGUCCAACGUGUCGGCGCGCCAGGCGAGCUCGAAGCAGGCAGCGGCAAGGGCCACGAGCGGCGGCUCGGCGAGGGCCAGGAGCGCGAGUGGAGGAGGACGGCGGGGGCGCUUGGCGUUGGGCUGAAGCGGCGGUUGCUGGGGACCGGCGGCCGGCGUGCUGCUGCUGCUAGGGGCGCCGCAGGUAGCUUCAGCGGCGGCGGGAGCUCGGCGAGCGAGUCAUCUAGCAGGAGGAGGGAGGAGGGAGAAGAGAGAAGGAAGGGGAGAGAGGAAAGGAAGGGUACCAUUAAUAAGGGUAGUGUUGGUGCUAGAAAUCGGUCAACCGAAUCCCAGCGACCAACACACGACCCGGGAGAAUCUGCUUAGCUCCUGUUCGGGUGAAUGCCCUGGUGCGGUUCGCGCGGCGUGCCAGCCAAUCUGACCUGUUGAUUGGCAAGGAAGAACACGUGUCAGGUCCAGAAACUACGAUCGGCUAAGUUUCCGAUCGAGAGUGUUUAUCGGCGAAUCGACCGAUUUACUGUGAUAAUGAAAUCGGCUAUAAGACAGCCUGAUCCCUAUAGCCUUGUAGACAGGGAGACUAUUGGAGUAAUCGGUACAAAGCCUAUGAUAACAACACUAGGAAUAGAUCUAAUCGGCAAUAGAUGAAUUUUGACAAUAGAAAGUAAAGAGAGCCGACACUACCGAUUCCUAGCUGGAUAACUGAUGAUAAAGACUAGAAAAACAGGUAAAACCUAUAAAUCUAGCAGAUAUCGAUAACUGGUGAAUAAACCUAAACGAAACAACAGCGAUGCGCCCGAAGUUAAAGCUUAGAUAUUACUCGAUAAGCGGAACUUACAGAAUCGGCCGGAGAUCAAGAUGAUGCAGCCCUGCCAACCUGCACGAACUCGUGAAAAAAGAGGAAAGUAGUGGCGAAGUCGCCUGCUUGAAAGUAAGUACGAGGAAAAAGUAGUUUGUUGUAUUGAUUGGUUGAUGAUUACAGAUUUACAAAGGUAGCUAUUUAUAGCCCCGUACAGAUAACUUCUUAACCGACUAGAAUCCUAUCUCUAAUUCAAACAGAAAACGAAUAUCUACAAGCACAAUUCGUGCUAGGUUAGUUACUCCACGCUUCGUGGGCUGACCUCCACCUUAUCCUUCCAUCCCUUUCCAAGCCCAUACAGGCCCAAUUAGUCCACCCUCCAAAUCGGCCAAUUUCUCAUCGGCAAAAGAUCACCGAUUGGGACUCUGGUGCAUUCGUCCUGAAGUGAGACAAAAGUCGCCAGCCGAUUCCGCACUAUAGCACCAUUUGGCCGAUUCCCAACUGUGCUUCUCCGAUUUCCUUUCUUCUUAGCGUCGACUCUACUGGUGACGAAAUCUGGCGUCAACACAUGCCCCCCAGUUUUGGAGUAAAACAGUCUUUUACUUCGAAAUUCUUUACAACCUCCUUUCCGAAACGGCCGCAGUGAAAAUAUCCUUCCGUUUCGCGGUCUCCCAGCUGAUCAUUGCAAUUUUUUGAAACGGGCGCCCACGACAGCCACUACCCCCGAAAAACUCGAAGCGCCGGCGCGGUGAAAAUUCCAUCUUUACCCCCUCUUCAAGCAUCCUAUAAAUAGCGCUUCACCGCACCUCAUCUUCAAGCUCACGUCUCUUUUCCCAACGCGCGCGCAUCCUUCUUCUUUCAACACUUUCCCUUGCCACCGAAGCUUUCUAGCUCCACCUCCUGUUAUUUCUUCCCUCUUCCCUUCAAUGGCGGCUCCUUCCGGCAGCUCCCCCGCACGCGAUGCUCCAGAGAUAACGCCUCCGGUGGUGGUGGCGACGACCGUCACUCCAUCCACAGAUGAAAGAGUUUCAACAGAAAUCCCAAUGGCGAUCCCCAUCGCGGCCCCAUCAUCCACAUCCGCAUCGGCGACCACACCGAUUACUCAGAACUUUAUCCCAGAGGUAAAUACCGAAUCUUUCCCCUAUCGGCAACGUAUUUAUCUUAGAUCUGUUUCUUACAUUUCCAUACUCCUUUUCCUUCUUUAGGCGGUUAGGCAUAGAAUUACUAUUCACCUCACGGGAAGUCCUGGCCUUGUUUGCCUCGGUCCUAUGGGAGACCCAGAUCCGAUAGAUCUUAUAAAUUCGGAAACUGACCGGAUACCCUUCAAACGAUCCGAUAUGAACUUAGAUCAAUGGGUGGGUACUUUCAGAUCCUGGCCGAAAGAAACCCCAGGUUGGAGGAAAUGGUACCAACGGGUGGCCGCGUCAAAAAGCGUCUUGUGGGAAGAGCUCAAAAUCGGCCAGUGCAUCAACCUCUCCCUGUCUCAAAUGGAGAAAAAUGAGCCGUUAGUGAUGGCGGCUUCCUAUUUUUGGUCUGACGCACUUAAUGCGUUCUUAUUUGGGCACGGUCCUAUGACCCCCACACUGGCCGAUGUGGUCCUCUUGACCGGCCUGGACAUAUCUUCCUCUGACACACCCUUCCGCCUUUUGACCACAACGUCACAUCGGCUGGACACAAGGGGAAUCGACGGCUGGAAAGGCUUCAUCAAAAGCAACAAGAAGACCGGUACCGUUGAGAACAGGGAGCACACAGCUUUCCUGAUGAUGUGGCUAGAAAAACACUUCUUUUGUGGAAGAGCGGCCGGCCCAACAACCAACACCCAACCCUUAGCUGAAGCACUGUCCAGAGGGGACCAUAUUCCUCUAGGGAAACAUCUACUGGGUGCCGUGUACCACAUGCUUCAUCAAAUCGGCACAAGACUUUCCAAGGGAGAACCAAUCGGCAAUCCAGGCGGGCCUUGGUGGUUUGUCAAUCUAUGGUUGAACCUUUACAUGAGCAGAAUCACCCGGCAGCCGGUGGACCAUAUGACAUUCCCCAACAUCGAAUCGGCGGAAGACCCCACCGAGCGUCGCCGAUGCAUGUCCUUUGGUGAAGCGGCGUCAGCUUUUCCAGGUUGUGCGUAUUCUGCUACAAAGAUAGCCGAGUACUUUCGGUGCUUUUACAAUGGAUUUAAUGAAGACGCAUCUAUUUGGUUCCCGUAUCAGCGAGACAACCCAGUCUUUGAACUCCCCACUUGCUUCGAUUCGUCUUCUGGCCGGUUUGAUGAAAAUCUUUAUUAAGGACUGAUCAAACCAGGACUCCUACCGGCCAACUUCUUUUCAGGGAAGGAUGCCCCUACGUACAAAUUCUACAAUCCGUCUACUGCAGCACGACAAUUCGGCAUGGGUCAACUGCCGAUACAAGUGUACUUUGCUGGCCGAAUUAAGUUCAGAGAUGUGCUCACAUCUGGCCUGGAUUACGGUCGGUUGCGAGACCGAAUUCCGGACUCCAGUACGAUUAACUUGAAUGACUGGCUAUUGUUUCCAUUUGCCGUCCAGCCGUUCAAACUUUGGUGGGCCGAAUGGAAGCAAUUUCUAUUCUGUAACUCAGCAUCGGCAUACUGCAAUCUUUUGGAUCCGGCAAACAUUGACCCAAAUGCCGAGGUAUUCCUCAUAGCCGAUUUUUAUUCUUCUCAACAUGAUUGAGCACUAAUGAUUUUAUUGUUCCUUUAGGCCGGGAAUCGGACCCCUCCAACGCACAGCCGCAGCGGACGGUUAAUAGAGAGCCAUCCAUAUACCACCUACCCUCUUAUCGGCUAUAACGCCCCGUCUGUUGACGUGAUUGCCGGCCGAUCAAAGCAAGUUCAUAAGAGGACCACUAAAAAGACUAGUCGCCGAGUCCGGGCUCGCACGGAAUCGGCGGAUCCUCCUGUGCUUGUGUCGGCAGAAACUUUGACUGCACCGCCUUCCCAGUUUACUCAAAGUGUCGAUACUCAAGCCAUCACACAAGCCGGGGUGGCUGCUGCAUCAUUAUUGUUGGAAGCCAUACAGGUAAGCCCGAGUUUUACUAUCUCCGAUUGUCAUCUUGAUAUUAACUCUUCUUAACUUUGUACUUCUCAGAGCACCCCUAUAGAAAUACCACAAUCAGCGAUAACUCAACCGGUCACCAACGCGCCCCCGUCCUCAUCCAUUGAGGUAUAGUAUUUAUCUUGCGGAUUUCCUUCGGGUAUUUGCGUAAUGUACUUAAUCAACUUUUCGACGCAGGCCAUCGGCACACCGAGCGCUUCUCGACCACCGAUUUCUUCUCAGGGGGCUGGUCCGAGCACCGCGCCGAUUGUCGUGGAGUCUUCUUCAUCAGAUGAGCCUAUGGCGCAGGCCACUGAGCAAGACACGACGGCUUCACAAGCGCAGCAUGAAGAAAUUUGCUUCAAAAUGGUAAGUUCCUAAACCAGCUUUCAACCAGCCGAUUUGCUCUGAUUCCCCGCCGAUUCAUCCCUUUUCCUUAUUUUCUUAGGAACAAGACUCUCCCAACAACAGCCUCUUCUCCUUUGCGGUUGCUCUUUCUGAUGACGAGGAAGUCGCGUCCCGCCAAGUUGCUCUAAGCUCUGUUCCUGAUGACGUCCGAGCUAAACUUACCAGCAUCCGAUCCCUCCUACAAGGGGACAUCGGCCGAUUGGUAGAAGAUGCUUCGCCGAUUCGGCAGCUCUUCAGUGACGUCAGCGGACGAGUACCAGAGGAGGCGGAAGAGGCCUUGGCACCGGCGGCCUUCAUCGAGUCCAUGAGGAUCCCAGUCUUUAGGGCCCUUUGUCACAUGGCCGAUCGCGCGAAACUGGCCAAGACUCGUGAAGAUGAAGACGCUUUCAAGCAUCAGGCUCAAGAAGCGCAUCGGCGUAUCCAUGUUCUAGAAGACUCACGCCCGGCGAUCAUUAGUGAAAUAGACCGCCUCAAGCGUCGGAGGGCGGAACUUGCCAAAGAGAUGGAGCAAGUGACCAAAGCAAUCAGUGCCGAAGAGAACAAACUUCAAGAGCUACCUUCUGCUAUUGCCAAUUUGACACGGGAGAGGCAGCGUUUUGCUCAUGAGGCUCUGAGACUCCACCGCAGCACAUCGGAGGUCCCUGGAUCGGUGGAAGAAGACCAACGGGUUCUUGACUCUGCCGAUCAGAUCCGGCGCCGGGCCAUCACAGCUAUCGAUACCCUUUUGGGUAACCUGUAAAACACUGACCGUUUUGUACGAACAUUUACUAUCCUUUUUGACCAUCCCUCGCGACGCCCUCUCUAUUUACUGCCUUCCUUAUUACCGAUAGGACGUGGCCUCACCAGAUGUCCACGCAUUUUUCCCCAUAAAUAUCGACCUCGGCGCCUACUCCCGAUAGUAUCAACUCGGCUCUUAUUUCUCUUUUCUUCUUCUUCUUAUCGGCGCGACUGCUUCGUCAUGGCUUCAUCGUCAUCUUCUUCUGUUAAUCAGGUGAAGCCCUGACCUUUUUCUCUUAGAUCUUUAGGAAAAGAAUGCUUCGCCUUAUCCCCUCUUUGUUUCAGCCCCAACGCCUCAGUCCGGAGCUCGUGCGCGCCAUCGAGUGCAUCCACUCUGAAGAUCCAUUGACCCCGGAGGACAAGGCGCUGAUUCUGGCUCAUCGAGAGGAGCUCCAAGACCACAUUACUGCAGAGGCUCGUGCGGUCUUGGAUUCCGUAGUGAGCGAAGGUCAUCGCCGAUCUCCAACCGUGAGGGGUCGUCAUCGUGACGCGCCUGAAGAUGACGUCACUUCGGCAGCCCGCACGGUCCUGGACUUCAUGGAGAGGAACGGCGGCCAGCGAUUUCCCACCGAUAUGACCCGUUUGCUUCCUCGGCCAGUCGUCCUUGCGGCGGCAGGGGCCUCGCGCCUGGAGCGGAAUGGAAAGGCAUCUGAGAAGAAGAACAAUUAGUUUGUUUUUGUUUUAUUUUUUGUUCUAAGGGCGACUAACGUUUUGUCGGCCAUGUAAUCCGUCGCCCGUACCGAAUGGAUGCAAUCGGCCGAUCCGGUCGACUUUAUGUGCUUCUUAAACCGACUUGUAUCGGCUAUGUGUGAUUGUGUUAUGGUUGAUUUCUUACGCUCCGACCCAUAUACUAGGGUAAUAUCUUUUUAAGUACCUUCCAUUCAGGGCUCUAGUGAAUUCUUCUCCUUCUAUUGUUUCCAAAAUGUAAGCAUUUCCUGGAGCGCAUCUGCCGAUUUUAUAUGGCCCUUCCCAAGUAGGGGACCAUUUUCCGAAUUUAGGAUCUUUCGACCCGAUCGGCAGUACUAACUUCCAUACCAAGUCUCCGGGGGAGAACUGUUUGACUUUGACCUUGUUAUCGUACCACCUGGCUACUCUCUUCUUAUUUUCUUCAAUACUUAUCAGGGCCCUCAAUCGUUGGCUAGCCACAUCGUCAAGUUCCCUUUUCAUAAGUGAUGAGUAAUCAUCGGCCGAUAACUGGUCCUGGAGCGAAAUACGCCUCGAUCCUGCCCUCGACUCCCAUGGUAGCACUGCAUCGUGACCGUACACCAACUGAUAGGGAGAUAAUUUAGUAGCCCCAUGACAAGCCAUCCUGUAUGCCCAUAGGGCCUCAGUCAAACAUAGGUGCCACUUCUUCGGAUGUUCUUCAAUCUUCCUUUUGAUCAACUUGAUUAUUUCUUUGUUGGAGGAUUCUGCUUGACCAUUGGCCUGGGCAUAAUACGGAGAAGAAUUUAACAACUUGAUGCCCAUAUCGGUCGUGAAUUCCUCAAAUUCCCCCGAUGUGAACAUUGUUCCUUGAUCGGUUGUUAUAGUUUGAGGGAUGCCGAAUCGGUAGACGAUGUGGUCUCUUACGAAGUCGGCCAUGAUAGCCGAUGUCACGGCUUUCAACGGAAUCGCCUCCACCCAUUUGGUGAAGUAAUCAGUAGCCACCAGAAUAAACUUGUGCCCCUUGCUUGACGGUGGGUAAAUGUGGUGGAACCACCUCGGAUUAGCUUGAUUAAUCAGAGUUCAGCCGCCUGACAUGCGACACUCCUGAUUAACUCGAGCUAACACGAAGCGCCGUCGGAUUUCAUCCGAUUUAACCACCUUCAACAGGAUCGAGUUCAGCAAACCCACACGAAGGUGAGCGGUUACAGAGAAUACAACAAGUCCACUGAGUUUAAACGGUCUUACUCAAGAGUUUGAUCAUAAUUUUAACAUCAGAGUUUUAUAACAAAAGACAACAGAGAAAACACUAGCGGAAGACUUCGUCGGGGUCGGACGUCCGGGCGAGGCCAGCCAGAACAUCACUGAGUCCUCUCCUCGCCGUCCGAGGAGGGGUCCCACUCGACCGUCCAGCCUGGCGGGAGCUGGGGCGGCCAAACACCAACAAGGGAGGGGUCGGGAACUGCAACUUCACCUGAAAAACAGGAGCCACAACAAGGCUGAGCUACUAAGCUCAACAAGACUUAACCGAUAGGGGUACGGGCUACUCCUCCUUCUAGACAUGCAAGGCUUCUUGGCUGAGGGGUUUGUUUGCCAAAAGCUCUAAGUACCUUAUUUUCAAGUUUUAGCUCCGGUUCUAGAUUUACUUACCAGUCUAGGUUGUGCAACCUAUUCUAAGCAAACAUCGAGCCAAACAAGUUAUAUAUAAAAACAACAUCAUUGCCAUCAUCAGAUUCCUCAUUUACUCAGGGUGACAUAGCGAUCAAGCAAUCUCAAACUGUGAGAGGCAGACGAAUCGAUUCGAGUUCUUUAACCAUGCAUGGUGAACCUAGCCCCACGACAUCCGCGCACCCGGAGGUCGCUUCCUGUGUCGGCCUUCCCCAUCGAUCCCCUAACCCGUGUCGGGCCCAUUUCCUUUGGUGCAAGGUUCCACAGACCCGGCCUCUGCCGUCCUGUGACCACGCUUUGCCACCACGUGCGACAACCAGCAGGGGAAACUCCGUUCCAAGAAUAAUGGGGCGACCGCUCACGUCUAGGUUCAAUCAGGUACUAGGCUUCCUCAUCCCAUACUAAGUAUGAGGCUAGUACUUUCAAACACUUGAUCACGAACACCACCACUGUCGGGCCUUAGCAAGUUUUCAUAGACAGACGGGGCAACCAUCCGACCACCAAAGUGUUACCCAUCCCUGCCCCGUCCACCGUCCUUAUAGUUGUAGCAGAGAGUAAACAUGCAACUCCUACAACUCGCGAGUGACAGGAGAUCACUCGGCUUUUACCGUCUCCUAUUUAAGCAAUGCAGCUACUCGGUCCAGCAGCUAGUGCUCAUAUCAAGGGUUACUAAGUCACGCAUCUAGGGUUUCACACAACUCCUAAACGUAAAUGCACAACAUGCUAUUCGGAAGGCAUGCGCAAAAUUGACAAGAACACAUAGGGUUUCCAUGCAACCGGGGCUUGCCUGCAACCAAAGAGGGCGGAAACUGCUCGACUUCAGGGGCGGCUUUGACUUCAGCGGGCGGGAACUCGGCUACAGCUUCUGCUUCGGGCGCCGGGUGCAGCUCGUAGAAGCCGUCAGCGAGAUGCAGCUCUACACGGAUGCAAUGCAAAGGUUAGCUUAAACGUUUUGAUUUGACCGCAACACUGGCUCUCCUGAGCCCAGAAACUUGCGACAAAGAGCAGGAGUGGGAGGCGGUUGGAGAGAGAGGAUGAUGAUCAACAGGUAAGGGUAGGAAGAAACGAGUGGUUUGAUCCUUGAACUAGAGGGUGUGAUAACUGGGAUCCUCAGACGUAAGCGCGGAAGGGUUCCCACGUUUUACACUUACACCCUCAAGUUGAAGGAAAGAUCACAGCCAGACCCUCGGGCGAGGCGGACAAAGGUCGGCAAACAGACAGGGUCGGACGAGACGGAACUGGGGUCGGGCGGAUAGGAGGGGUCGGUCGAGGCGGACUUAGGGUCGGCACUCACCUUCUUCCUGAAAGGAAGGCUUGGGGUCGGGAAGAGGCAGACUUGGGCACGGAACUAAAGCUUUGAGCAGGGACCUAGGCCGGCGGUGCUCUGGCGGCGGUGCUUCUUGCAGAUCGCAAGAGAGCUCUUGCGCAGCACAAGGGAGCAAGCUGCGGGGCGACUUGGAUGAACUGAGAAGGAACUGGGAGAAGAACUUCUCAAGAUUGGGCGGAUGGCUCUAGGAGCUUUGAGCAGGGAGCUAGAGGAAACUAAGGGCAACAAAGGUGGAGGAAACUCCAGCGACGGGGGCAUUCCUUUUAUAGCUGCGGGAGCAGAGGAACGGAAACGUUGCGGAGAGAGGGAAGGGGAGCGGCGCGAAGGCCGGGGAGAAGCAAUGGAGUGCUCUGCCGUGGCGGCGAUUGAGCAAACCGGGCGGUGCAACAGAACUCCGGGGGUGACGCCAGCGAUCAUUGCGCUACUUCGUCAGGGCGGCGUAGGCGCGGGUAGACCGGUAGUUGAGAUUUGGCGGAAAGCGGGCGUCGCCGUGCGGAAGAGGUGACAGAAGCGACCGGUUAAACGGCGCUAGGAUCGAGGGCGCACAGGUGGGAGAACAAGCGGACGCGGCGCGGGGGAGAGCGCGGAACAACAGAUUGUCGGGCGGUGUCUGACAGGGCGGGGAAAGGAACUGUCGCGGCCGCGGUCGGAGUUGGCGGUGGGGGAAUCGUCGUGUAGUGACGACCGGGCGGCGCAACUGUUGCCGGAUAGGACGGAAAAGACGGGCGACAUUGGUCUCCAGGGCCGAGAUCUGGUAUCGUGAUGAUUGGCGCGGGGAGCGAGGCUCUGCAGAAAGGGGUGCAGAGGGCUUCCGCUUCUAUUAGGGAAGAGGGCGCGGGAACCCACUCGGUCGCUUGCCGGAGACAAAACUGAGCGGUGGCGUCGGAGAAGGCGAGCCACGCGGCAGGAAGGUUCUGAGGCGGCCAGGCAACUCGAGUGCGGCUGAAGCGGGGGAUCGGGAAAAAGAUCUCGCGGGUGAGGAAGAUUAACAGGAUCCGAAGGAUGGCUGAACUCGCCAGGGUCAGAAAAAAGGAACGAAGUAGUAGGGGUCGGAUCUCAGGGGUCGGAACUGGCGGAAAGCUGAGCACUUAAGUGCGAUCAACGGAGUAACUGACGGAGGUUUAAGGGCUGAGAUCAAAACUAACUGGGAGAGAUUAGGGGUCGGUCGUUACAGCAAAUUUGGCCGAUAAGAUCUAUUCCCCACCCCCUGAACGGCCAUGGCUUGAUGAUGGGAUUAAUGGCCGAUGCGGGUGCACGUUGGACAUUUCCAAAUUUUUGACACUCCUGACAACCUUUAUAAUAUUCGAAACAAUCUUCAAGGAUUGUAGGCCAAUAGUACCCGUUGUUCCUGAUCAUCCACUUCAUCUUAUGUGCCGAUUGGUGUGCUCCACAUACCCCUUCAUGGAUUUCUCCCAUUAGAGUCUUGGCUUCUUCUGUCCCAAGGCAUUUAAGAAGGACUCCGUCGAUCGUUCGGUAGAACAGAUCAUCUUCGAGCAGUACGUAUUUGGUGGCAUGAAAGCGUACUCGUCGCUCCACCUUUUUAGACGGAUCCUUCAGGUAAUCGGCAAUUUCUUUACGCCAGUCGUCGGCUGCAAGUUCUAAGGCCAUAGCGCCCAGAAUCGGCCGAUACCCAGAUGCGUGCUGGGCGAGUUUGUUUGCUUCUUCGUUGCGGUCUCUUGGAACAUGCUCGAUUACUGCCGAUCUGAAUUCUUUUAAAAGCUGUAAGCAAUCUUCGUGAUAAAUUCUUAAUACGUCAUCUUUGCACUCAGCCCUUCCGGUUAGUUGAUCCACAAUAAGCAUAGAAUCUCCGAAGAUCUCAACAGAAUCGGCUUUGACUUCUCUCAAUAGUUGUAAACCUUUUAAUACAGCUCUGUACUCCGCUUGAUUGUUAGUAGCGGCAGUUUCUACGGCAGAGAAAAAUCAUAGCUUGCCCCCCGAGGCGAUAUGAGAACGAUGCCGAUUCCUGAUCCGACCCCGCAUGAUGACCCGUCGAAAAAUAAUUGCCAAGGCGCCAGUUCCACGAGGGCGAUCUCCGGUCCACAGUGCUGGGCAACGAAAUCGGCCAUGACUUGACCCUUGACGGCUUUUGCCGAUUCAUACCGCAGGUCAAAUUCCGAUAAAGCUAAGAUCCAUUUACCGAUUCGCCCUUUUAGUAUCGGCAGUGAUAGCAUGUAUUUUACUACGUUGUCCUUGCAUACGACUACACAUUCUGCCGACAGUAGAUAGUGCCUGAGUUUAGUGCAUGAGAAGUAAAGACACAAGCACAAACGUUCCACCGGAGGAUAUCUUGUUUCAGCGUCCAGAAGCCUUCUACUGACGUAAUAAAUUACCCGCUCUUUGCCUUCAAACUCUUGGACCAGAGCCGACCCAAUAGCUUUUUCAUCAGCUGAUAAAUACAGUUUAAACGGCUUACCAGUUUGAGGGGGAACCAAGAUUGGCGGUGAGACCAAGUAUCGCUUGAUAUCUUCUAACGCCUUGCACUGUUCUUCUCCCCAUAUAAAUUCCUGGUCUGGCUUCAACUUCAGAAGUGGUGUGAACGCUUGAAUCCGUCCGGAUAGAUUAGAUAUAAAUCUUCUGAUGAAGUUUACCUUGCCGAUUAGAGACUGUAGCUCAGUUUUGUUCUGUGGGGCCACGACUUUGUUGAUGGCCGCUAUGGUCUUCUGAUUGAUUUCUAUACCUCGUUCGUGCACCAUGAAUCCUAAGAACUGUCCGGCUGAGACGCCGAAAACGCAUUUGUUGGGAUUCAUCUUAAGACCGUGCUUUUUGGUACACUCUAGCACCCUUCGCAAAUCGGCUAGAUGUUCCUCGUGGCUUUUGGACUUGACCACAACAUCGUCGAUGUAGAUUUCUACCAGGAGGCCAAUGAGUUUGUGAAAAAUAUAAUUCAUAGCUCUCUGAUAUGUAGCGCCGGCAUUCUUCAAGCCGAAAGUCAUCACUACCCAUUCGAAUAAACCAAGAUGGCCUGGACAUCUGAAGGCCGUUUUGGGUAUGUCCUCUUCGGCCAUAAGUAUUUGAUUAUAUCCGGCGUUUCCGUCCAUGAAGCUAAUAAUUUUAUGUCCCGCGGCGGCGUCGAUCAGUACAUCGGCUGUAGGCAUGGGGUAGCCAUCCAUCGGUGUGGCCUGAUUAAGAUUCCUGAAAUCAACGCACACGCGUAACUUCCCGUUUUUCUUGUAUACCGGCACGAUAUUGGAAAUCCACUCGGCAUAACGACAUUGCCGAAUAAAUUUUGCUUCGAUUAGCCGAGUUAUUUCAGCUUUUAUGUCUGGUAAGAUUUUAGGAUUGCAACGCCGUGCGGGUUGUUGGUACGGCCGGUACCCUGGCUUUAUGGGUAGCCGAUGUUCAACAAUAGAUCGAUCUAAACCGGGCAUCUCGUGAUACUCCCAAGCAAAACAAUCCUUGAAUUCUCUUAACAAAUUUGUCAAUUUACACUUGUAUUCCGGAUCUAAAUUUGCACUAAUGAAAGUCGGCCUUGGUUUGGUUCCAUCACCUAAGUCUAUCAUCUCUAACGAAUCGGCCGACGUGAAUCCGUGCCCCAGCUUCCCAUCUUCUCGAGCGAACUGAUCCAUCUAUUCUGCGUCUUCGGAGCCGACUGCUCGGAUCGGCUGUAGGCCAAAAUCGGUGACCUUCAGGAAAUCGGUCUCCCACACCCUUCCUGAUAUGCAUCUGACGGUCUCGCAGCUCCACUGCUGCGUGUCGGCUGCUGCAAUGCUGUACGCGGAGUCGGCUUUGACCACCUCGAUGUUAUCACCGACCCAUUGUACGAGGCACUGAUGCAUAGUUGACGGGAUGCAGCAGUUUGCGUGUAUCCAGUCUCGGCCAAGAAGCAUAUUGUAUGAUCCCUUGCCAUUAAUAACGAAAAGAGUGGUAGGAAGGGUCUUACUGCCGAUGGUGAGAUCGACGCAGAGAGCGCCGCGAGCGUUUGACACCUUGCCUUCGAAAUCCUUGAGCAUCAUGUCCGUCCUGGUCAGGUCGUCAUCGCUUUUCCCCAGCUUUCGGAGUACGGCGUACGGCAUAAUGUUGACAGCAGCUCCUCCGUCGACCAUCAAUCUAGUAAGGGGGCGACCGUCAACAUGCCCUUUAAGGAACAAUGCCUUCAUAUGUUGUCGUUCAUUAUCUUUGGGCUUUUCGAACGUGGCCAUCAUUGGCUCCAAAGCCAACUGUGCUGUCUGUUCUUCUAUCUCCGAUACGUCCUGUUGAUCGGCGGGAGUCAUGAACUCCAUCGGCAGUAUGAAAACCAUGCCGAUCUCGGCUGCCGAUUCGUCGCCCGCCGAUUCAUCGUCCCUUUUACCGUUCCUUUUAGGGCGCCACACCUGAGGCCUUCCUUCCUUCUUGUCUGCCGUGCUCUGUUGCUCUUCCUCUUGUUGUUCCUAUUGGCGGAGACGCUGGAUUCUCCGUUUUUGUGACUUGGUCAAUCCGUCGGGGCACCACCUGGGGUUUAUUGGCCUCCCCUCUGUCCUGGCGCGUUCCCACUCCGGUUCGCGUCCUAACGGGUCUUCGUCCGUUACCCGAGCAUCGGCCAUGUCUUCGAGCCGGCUGUGAACGCUGGCUUUGUUGUUUGACUGGUCAUGUCGAUCAGCCCUGCCCCCUGCCUAUCAUGGCAUCUAUCUUCCGACCGAUCAUAUCGGUCACUUCUGCCCCCCAGCCGAUCACGCACGGGAGGGCGCUGGUCAUCUUGGUUGCGCCAAUUCCUGCUGAUCGGUUCUGGCCUUCCGUCCCUGGAACGAGACCUGUUGAACGGCCGAUUGCCUCGAUAGGGACCGUUGCACUCUGGGCAAGUAUCGGCCGAAGGUAGCCUGAGGUUAUUUUCCCAACAAUGAAUGAAGAACGGGCACCUCCAGUGCUCUUCGUGCCGACGCAUCGCUUCUUCUCGGGACCUUGAGCGUUCAUGUUGUCGUUGGUACUUUUGGAGCAGGAACUGGGAAGUAAUGCGUGGCCCUUCUGACUCACCAUCAUCGUCCUCCAUUCGCCGCUUCCCCUUGACAUCUUCAGGCGUAGCUUGAUUUCUGGGAUCGACAGCGCCACUCUUUUUGGCCGAUUCGGACAUCAGCACUUUAGUUUGGAGAGAAUUCUUUCCCGUAUCAACCAUGUUGGUAGGAAAGGGGUGUUGGUCGAUCUUCAUUGGCUUGGCCGAUUUUGCCGGCACUUCAAAUUUGAGUCUGCCUUGCUCAAUGGCCGACUGUAUCUGUUGCCUGAAGAUCUUGCACUCGUUGGUAUCAUGUGAUGUGGCAUUGUGCCACUUGCAAUACUUCAUCUUUUUUAAUUGUUCGGCAGAAGGUAUUGUAUGGUAAGGCGAGAGUUUAAUCUGCCCUUCCUGGAGGAGAAGGUCGAAGAUUUUAUCGGCCUUAGUUGUAUCAAAACCGAAUGCUUCCGGCUCCUUUUUGCCGAAUGGGCAUGAUAUCGGCUUCUUUCCCUUGAUCCACUCCGCAAGUCCGAUUUCGACAUCUUCCUCAUCCUCUAAUUCUUCCAGGAAUGCCACCUUCUUAUGGAAAUUCCUCCGCGGAUCAAAUGGACGCACCUCCUGUCCGGACAAUUGGUGAACAAUCUGGCUCAGGCUCUCGAAAUCUUGUGAAGCAUAUUUCUCUUUAAUGUGUGGUAGGAGGCCUUGGAAAGCUAUAUCGGCCAACUGCGCAUCGGUUAGAGCCAGGGAGUAGCAUUUGUUUCUGAUUUCCCGAAACCUCUGUAUAUACGAGGGUAUCGGCUCAUCACUCCUUUGCCGGAGGCUAGUCAGAUCGGACAGCUUCAUCUCAUGGACCCCAGCAUAGAAGUACUUGUGGAACUGUCUUUCUAGAUCGGCCCAUGUGAUAAUCGAGUUUGGUGGCAAAGUCAUGAACCAUUGGAAGGCCGAUCCGGACAGAGAUGACGAGAACAACCGUACCCGUAGGGCAUCUUGCGUAGCUGCUUCUCCGCAUUGGAUGAUGAAUCUAUUCACAUGCUCCACGGUCGAAGUAUCAUCCAUCCCCGAAAAUUUGGUAAAAUCAGGAACUUUGUACCGAUGGGGGAACGACAACAAGUCAUAUGUAGAUGGGUAUGGUGUUCUAUAGGUAUAAGUUUGCAUUUUCGGCUUCAAGCCGAAUUGUUCUUGCAUCACCUCCGCAAUUUGCGCCGACCAAUCUGGUUGUUGCUGGGGAAUAGUCGGCUGCGGUAUCGGCACGUGCUGAUAAAUCGGAGGCUGAAUAAAAGGAGACUGAUGAAAAGGUGGUAUCUGAGUAUAAGCCGGCGGUGUAGUAAAGGUUGGCUGUUUGAAUGAACCACUCCUUUCAUCAUAUAGCAUGAGCUCUGCCGUCUUGUUGACCUCCGGAGCGACAGGCUGGUAUGGUGGUAUGGUUGGCCGAAUGGCCGCAUGGGAGGAUGCCUGGAACAGAGGGUUUCCUUGACUGGCCGAUUGAUUCAGGCCGGCCGUGGCUGAAGGUGCCCCCCAGGGUGAUGGGCUGACUGGAGGGAACGAUGCAGAGGACAGCUGGAUGGAGCCAUAUCCCAACGGAGUUGAUGAUGCAGAGGCGCCUGAACUCCCGACAGAAAAUUGAAUCGGCUGUGAAGCCGAAUACGGAUAAGUCUGAUUUGGUGGAAUCGGCUGAAAAUAUGUAGGUCCUCUGUAUCCUUGAGGUAUGCCCCCGGCGAAGGAGUUAACAACGGCAUUGUGCACCAUGUUUGAGAGCACCGGAGACUGAUCGAUGAAAGCGUGAUGAAUAGAUUGUUGAAUCAUAUCGGACAUUUUAUCCGAAUCCUCAGAAAUUGUGAUCUGACGGGGAGUAGGGAAAGGAGUCUUCUUAACAGUCUCCCCGCUCCUGGAACGACUGAAAGAUUUCAAGCAAGUCUUUCGGACUUGCUCCAUAUACUUGUUCAGAUCUUCCUUUUGGUCGUCCUUUAGAUCUGCUUCCGUCACCUCGAUGACGUUAUCUUCAGAGACUUCAGCAGCUUUCGACAUGACAGCGGUUGUAUUGGUCCCACCGGGCGUGCCAAAAGUGUGUUGGUGCUAGAAAUCGGUCAACCGAAUCCCAGCGACCAACACACGACCCGGGAGAAUCUGCUUAGCUCCUGUUCGGGUGAAUGCCCUGGUGCGGUUCGCGCAGCGUGCCAGCCAAUCUGACCUGUUGAUUGGCAAGGAAGAACACGUGUCAGGUCCAGAAACUACGAUCGGCUAAGUUUCCGAUCGAGAGUGUUUAUCGGCGAAUCGACCGAUUUACUGUGAUAAUGAAAUCGGCUAUAAGACAGCCUGAUCCCUAUAGCCUUGUAGACAGGGAGACUAUUGGAGUAAUCGGUAUAAAGCCUAUGAUAACAACACUAGGAAUAGAUCUAAUCGGCAAUAGAUGAAUUUUGACAAUAGAAAGUAAAGAGAGCCGACACUACCGAUUCCUAGCUGGAUAACUGAUGAUAAAGACUAGAAAAAUAGGUAAAACCUAUAAAUCUAGCAGAUAUCGAUAACUGGUGAAUAAACCUAAACGAAACAACAGCGAUGUGCCCGAAGUUAAAGCUUAGAUAUUACUCGAUAAGCGGAACAUACAGAAUCGGCCGGAGAUCAAGAUGAUGCAGCCCUGCCAACCUGCACGAACUCGUGAAAAAAGAGGAAAGUAGUGGCGAAGUCGCCUGCUUGAAAGUAAGUACGAGGAAAAAGUAGUUUGUUGUAUUGAUUGGUUGAUGAUUACAGAUUUACAAAGGUAGCUAUUUAUAGCCCCGUACAGAUAACUUCUUAACCGACUAGAAUCCUAUCUCUAAUUCAAACAGAAAACGAAUAUCUACAAGCACAAUUCGUGCUAGGUUAGUUACUCCACGCUUCGUGGGCUGACCUCCACCCUAUCCUUCCAUCCCUUUCCAAGCCCAUACAUGCCCAAUUAGUCCACCCUCCAAAUCGGCCAAUUUCUCAUCGGCAAAAGAUCACCGAUUGGGACUCUGGUGCAUUCGUCCUGAAGUGAGACAAAAGUCGCCAGCCGAUUCCGCACUAUAGCACCAUUUGGCCGAUUCCCAACUGUGCUUCUCCGAUUUCCUUUCUUCUUGGCGCCGACUCUACUGGUGACGAAAUCUGGCGUCAACAGGUAGAUAGGUCUUUUUACAGCUCAUUAAAUGUUGUUUAGCAAGGGGAACCAAACAGCUUUUGCUAAAAUUUAGCAACUAAAGUUUAGUAACUUUUAGCAACUAAAUUUUAGCAAGAGAAACCAAACAUGCCCUAAUUAUCGUCUGUAGCAUUCGCGUACAUCUCCUCGGCAUCACGGAUUACUAUUGUUCUAGCGUCGCAGCAGUCAGCUUUGCAUUUUUGCCGUAGUUACUAUAUUAGUUAAUCAGCACAGAAGGCAAUUAAUAAACGUUAACCUGCCCCUAAUUACAGAACAUGCGGUAAAUGAUUGAAGAGCAUAGAAUAAUUUAUUAUGUAGUCAAACCACCCAACCGCACCAACCUGCUAGCGCGUGCCCGUUUUGGAGCGCCGAGAGGCACCCUCCCUAAUUAAUUAGCGCUAAUUACUUUCAGCCGAGCUGUGCGAGCGAGCCAUGGGCAGGAAGGCAUCGAGCCGAGAGGCAACCGAGCUACAUGUGCCGGGCUUUCGUAGAAAAAGCCACGUAGUUACUAAGUCUGUGAUUACCGUUGCAGUUACUAUUAAAAAAACCAUGCCUGCCCUGCCGAGAGUGAACCACAUGGUUACGAGAAAACAAGGGCACAAUGUUUACGGUAAUGUUUGAACCAGUAACCAUAUAUUAUAUUUUUGUCUAUGCACGCAUACUAGGGCGAAACCGGUCACAAUAAUUCAUAAUCAUAAAAUAUACUUGCGCCAGUUGAUAAGUACAGUAGUAGGGGAGUUACGACAAAUCAGGCAUCACAUUGUUAACCAUUUUACUGAUGAAUCGAAUGUACAGUGAAAUAGUUACAAGAAUUCAAAUGGCUGCAGACCAAUGUGGCGUCAGCACUUACCAGUUACCACAAUUUAGCCCCAAGGUUACUACAAUGAAACGGCAGUUUACGAGAAUUCAAAUAGCUUGAUAUGGUAAUUAGGAUGGAGAGUUACAACAAUUUGGCAUCGUCGAUUGGUUCCGAGAAACCGAUUACUAUAAUGACAGAUGAAUUUACCAUAAAAUAGUUACUUGAAUUCGAGAGCUACCACAAUUUGGCAUCAAGCUUAUCCAUGUAACCAGUUACUAUAUAUAAUGACGAGUAUUUUUUGCACAAAACCCAAUGACGAAUUUGUCUGGGGAUAGAACAUGGAAAACUAUGGCAACUAAGACACUGUCAGCAUCCACUUCGCCUAUAAUCAUCAGCAGAGAAGAUCAAGGUCGAGGCCAGCGUGCCUCUUUAGCAGGGAGCUUCUUGAUUCUGUUAAGUGUGUGGUAAAGGCCGGAGCAGCAAUGAUAAAAUUUUUCCUGCAUUAUAUAAUUUACAAAAAUCAGGACUGAAUUACAUCUAGACAAUUGCAACAAUGGAAAUUUGGUAAACUGGUGAUCUAAACCUGUGGAUUGGGAAAUAAGAACAUUCACUAUUCAAUAGCAUACAACUCAGGGCACAACUCUGGGAUGGUAGAUGCCAUCUAUCAGGUCAAUUGUAAACAUUCAAUGCUGCUUUGUCAGCAUACACACGGUGGCCUGGAUUUGAUCAGAGAUUCAUAAUAAAAAAGUGUGAAAUACUGAUAAAAAAUGAAUGGCAACUGUGAAUGAUUCAUGUACCGACAGCACGGCCUAUAUUUGAUCAGAAAAUGCAGAAUAAAAGUGCCAAAUAGUAAAUAAUGAAUGGUAACUGUGAAUUAUUCAUGUACUAUGGAAUGGAAUCGAUUGUGAGCGGCACCAGAGGAUGACUUAUGGCGUUGGAAAGGAAAAGUGGAAUCUGUUGCGCACUUUGGCCCAUGUAUGGUUGCUCAGGAUAAAAGCAUAAUUUUGUUUCUAAAUCGGUUGAUUAAUUAUGAUAACAUGCUAGUUAUUUCUCAUCCUAAAUUAUUUAUGCACAAUGUUAUUCUAGUUUAUUUUAUCAAAUUUUUAGGUUGAUUUAGUGACCCAAAAUACUUAUAACUUGGAUUCUUAUAAGGAACUGACGGUCUAACUUGCUUGUUUAGAGCCGAAUAGUGUUUGACUACUGUGUAAUAAUUGUGGGUUGUUUCCUUCUCGGAAAGGACGAUGAAGCCUAGUCACAAACUUUUUUCAUUAUUAAAAGAAGAAACGGCCGCUCAGUGGUGGGCGGAAACCGGUAGUGCGUUGACUUGACGUGUUACCACUAGGGUGGCAAAGAACUCUCUAAUUUAACCUAGCAAAUUUAAGGAUCGAGCUCAAUAAAAAUCAGAUUAUAAUUUUAUAUAAUUUUGAACUAAAAAUAGAUAGGACUGCUGAGUUGGAUUGUGAAGAAAGGAUCAUAGCCCAUUACCACCUAGUUACCACUCAGGCACUCAGUGAAGCCCGUCGUUGUCGCCCAUGCCGAGCUCUAUUUAUCUGAGCUGAGAGGAGCGCGGUGUCAAGGUUAGCUAGCUAGCUAAGCUAGGCAGCACUUCCCUAUCGAGGAGGACAAGCUUGUUCCCCUCCCUGAUUAUUGGCACAAGCUGAUCGGGGAAGAGACCGAUCGAUAUGGCGGCGGAGCCGCAGGCGAGCAGCGGCGCUCACGCGGCGGCGACCCAGCUGGGCGACCUGCCGGAGGCGUGCCUGGCGCAGGCCAUCGCGCUCACCUCCCCGCGCGACGCAUGCCGCUGCGCCGCCGUGUCACCGGCCCUCCGCGCCGCCGCCGACUCUGACCACGUCUGGCGGGGCUUCCUCCCCGAGCAGCUGAUGAUCGACGG